rnacentral:rRNA from 1 species
AUACGGAGGGUGCAAGCGUUAAUCGGAAUUACUGGGCGUAAAGCGUGCGUAGGUGGUUUGUUAAGUUAGAUGUGAAAGCCCCGGGCUCAACCUGGGAACUGCAUUUGAAACUGGCAUACUAGAGUAUAGGAGAGGGAAGUGGAAUUUCAGGUGUAGCGGUGAAAUGCGUAGAUAUCUGAAGGAACAUCAAUGGCGAAGGCAGCUUUCUGGACUAAUUCUGACACUGAGGUACGAAAGCGUGGGUAGCAAACAGGAUUAGAAACCCUAGUAGUCC